GGCGAACGCUGGCGGCAGGCCUAACACAUGCAAGUCGAACGAACCUUUCGGGGUUAGUGGCGGACGGGUGAGUAACACGUGGGAACGUGCCUUUAGGUUCGGAAUAACUCAUGGAAACUUGUGCUAAUACCGAAUGUGCUCUUCGGGGGAAAGAUUAAUCGCCUUUAGAGCGGCCCGCGUCUGUUUAGCUAGUUGGUUGAGGUAAUGGCUCACCAAGGCGACGAUCAGUAGCUGGUCUGAGAGGAUGAUCAGCCACAUUGGGAAUGAGACACGGCCCAAAAUGCUACGGGAGGGAGCAGUGGGGAAUAUUGAGGAAUGGGCGAAAGCCUGACGAAGCCAUGCCGCGUGAAUGAUGAAGGUGUUAGGAUAGUAAAAUUCUUUAACCGGGGACGAUAAUGACGGUAACCGGAGAAGAAGCCCCGGCUAACUACGUG
rnacentral:rRNA from 1 species